GUGUUUGCUUCAGCAGCACAUAUAUUAAAAUUAACAAUACAAACAAGAUUAGCAUGGCCUCUGUACAAGGAUGUUGCUUCUCUGUAUAUACUUAUACAUUUGG
ensembl:snRNA U6 U6 spliceosomal RNA